GACGAACGCUAGCGGCGUGCUUAACACAUGCAAGUCGAACGGAAAGGCCCUGCUUUUGUGGGGUGCUCGAGUGGCGAACGGGUGAGUAACACGUGAGUAACCUGCCCUUGACUUUGGGAUAACUUCAGGAAACUGGGGCUAAUACCGGAUAGGAGCUCCUGCUGCAUGGUGGGGGUUGGAAAGUUUCGGCGGUUGGGGAUGGACUCGCGGCUUAUCAGCUUGUUGGUGGGGUAGUGGCUUACCAAGGCUUUGACGGGUAGCCGGCCUGAGAGGGUGACCGGCCACAUUGGGACUGAGAUACGGCCCAGACUCCUACGGGAGGCAGCAGUGGGGAAUAUUGCACAAUGGGCGGAAGCCUGAUGCAGCAACGCCGCGUGCGGGAUGACGGCCUUCGGGUUGUAAACCGCUUUCGCCUGUGACGAAGCGUGAGUGACGGUAAUGGGUAAGGAAGCACCGGCUAACUACGUG
rnacentral:rRNA from 1 species